rnacentral:rRNA from 1 species
GAUGAAUGCUGGCGGCGUGCCUAAUACAUGCAAGUCGAGCGGUAAGGCCCUUCGGGGUACACGAGCGGCGGACGGCUGAGUAACGCGUGGGAACAUGCCCCAAAGUGAGGGAUAACGCACCGAAAGGUGUGCUAAUACCGCAUAUGGUCUUCGGAUUAAAGGAUUUAUCCGCUUUGGGAGUGGCCCGCGUACGAUUAGAUUGUUGGUGAGGUAACGGCUCACCAAGUCGACGAUCGUUAACUGGUCUGAGAGGAGUGAUCAGUCAGACUGGAACUGAGACACGGUCCAGACUCCUA